UACGAGGGGGGCAAGCGUUGUUCGGAAUUAUUGGGCGUAAAGGGCGCGUAGGCGGCCGGAUAAGUCUGACGUGAAAUCCCUCGGCCCAACCGGGGAACUGCGUUUGAAACUGUCUGGCUCGAGUCCGGGAGAGGGUAGCGGAAUUCCCAGUGUAGCAGUGAAAUGCGUAGAUAUUGGGAGGAACACCGGUGGCGAAGGCAGCCUCCUGGGCCAGCACUGACGCUCAUGCACGAAAGCGUGGGGAGCAAACAGG
rnacentral:rRNA from 1 species